rnacentral:rRNA from 1 species
UACGGAGGGUGCAAGCGUUGUCCGGAAUCACUGGGCGUAAAGGGCGCGUAGGCGGCUCAUGAAGGCUGUGGUGAAAGUCCGGGGCUCAACCUCGGAUCGGCCGUGGCGACUCGUGGGCUGGAGCACUGUAGAGGCGGGUGGAAUUCCGGGUGUAGCGGUGGAAUGCGUAGAGAUCCGGAAGAACACCGGUGGCGAAGGCGGUGAGCUGGGCAGUUGCUGACACUGAGGCGCGACAGCGUGGGGAGCAAACAGG